GAUGAAGAACGUAGCGAAAUGCGAUAAGUAAUGUGAAUUGCAGAAUUCCGUGAAUCAUCGAAUCUUUGAACGCACAUUGCGCCCCCUGGCAUUCCGGGGGGCAUGCCUGUCCGAGCGUCAUUUCUGCCCUCAAGCACGGCUUGUGUGUUGGGUGUGGUCCCCCCGGGGACCUGCCCGAAAGGCAGCGGCGACGUCCGUCUGGUCCUCGAGCGUAUGGGGCUCUGUCACUCGCUCGGGAAGGACCUGCGGGGGUUGGUCACCACUAUAUUUUACCACGGUUGACCUCGGAUCAGGUAGGAGUUACCCGCUGAACUUAAGCAUAUCAUAAGCGGAGGA
rnacentral:misc_RNA from 1 species